AGUGAACGCUGGCGGUAGGCCUAACACAUGCAAGUCGAACGGCAGCACAGUAAGAGCUUGCUCUUACGGGUGGCGAGUGGCGGACGGGUGAGGAAUACAUCGGAAUCUACUUUUUCGUGGGGGAUAUCGUAGGGAAACUUACGCUAAUACCGCAUACGACCUACGGGUGAAAGCAGGGGAUCUUCGGACCUUGCGCGAUUGAAUGAGCCGAUGUCGGAUUAGCUAGUUGGCGGGGUAAAGGCCCACCAAGGCGACGAUCCGUAGCUGGUCUGAGAGGAUGAUCAGCCACACUGGAACUGAGACACGGUCCAGACUCCUACGGGAGGCAGCAGUGGGGAAUAUUGGACAAUGGGCGCAAGCCUGAUCCAGCCAUACCGCGUGGGUGAAGAAGGCCUUCGGGUUGUAAAGCCCUUUUGUUGGGAAAGAAAAGCAGCAGGUUAAUACCCCGCUGUUCUGACGGUACCCAAAGAGUAAGCACCGGCUAACUUCGUG
rnacentral:rRNA from 1 species